rnacentral:rRNA from 1 species
CAGCCGCCACGGUAAUACGUAGGUGGCAAGCGUUGUCCGGAUUUAUUGGGCGUAAAGCGAGCGCAGGCGGUCAAUUAAGUCUGAUGUGAAAGCCCCCGGCUCAACCGGGGAGGGUCAUUGGAAACUGGUUGACUUGAGUGCAGAAGAGGAGAGUGGAAUUCCAUGUGUAGCGGUGAAAUGCGUAGAUAUAUGGAGGAACACCGGUGGCGAAAGCGGCUCUCUGGUCUGUCACUGACGCUGAGGCUCGAAAGCGUGGGUAGCGAACAGGAUUAGAUACCCCUGUAGUCCCUGUCUCUUAUAU